AAUUAAAAAACCUUUCUUUUCUUUCUCUAGAGGGAAAUCCAUUUGUCCAAGCAAUACUUUAACUUCUGUGCUAGAUAAAGAAAUGCAGAGCAGGCCUCCACCUCCUGUUCCUCAUUACAAACAAACAGAUAAGAGCAGUGGAAACAGUGGUUUAUCCAAACCAUUAAAAGAAGAGCCUGUAAUUGACUACUUUGAUGUCCAGGACUGAAGCGAUUGAUGUAGAAUUAUGAUACAGAAGCUUAGCGGUGAAGAUACUAAGUUACUGUGUGAGGCGCUUUUUGGUUAUCAUCUGUCAAAGGAUCAGUUGUUCAACAUAUUCACGAUUUAACAUCUAAAGUUAGCUUGAUUUGAUGCUCUAAGAAGUUAUGUACUUUUACAGUUUACAUAACUGCAUAAUACCUAACAGUAGUAUAGCUUUUCAAACCUGGGUUUGGUGCAAUUUUUUUAUCUAAUGUGCUGUCAGAAUGAUGUAGCCUUCCGUUGAUGCCUUUGAAGUAAGAGAACUGCUAAUCAAAUAUAUUUUUGGAGGUAGUAAGUGCGACGAUAAAUCUCAAAGAUUUAUUUUGACAUAUAUCUCACACACUUAAAAUGGACCAGAAAUCAUCUGUGUUAAAAACACUGAUGGGAAUAUUCUUAGUAUUUUCAUAGUUUAUUAAUUCACUUCCGUGUUAAUGUGGUAAACUUGGGAAUUUGAGUUACUCCUCUACAUGGAAGGAAAUACAAAACUUAGUCUACUUAAAAUGAAUAAUGAAUAAUAAUAAUGAAUGCCCAUUAAGAGCACAGACUUCCUUUGGCACCUGAAGAACCAGGAUCUGGGGAAGGUGGGGAAUUAAGA